UACGGGGGGGGGCAAGCGUUGUUCGGAAUUACUGGGCGUAAAGGGUGCGUAGGCGGCCUGCUAAGUCACACGUGAAAUCCCUCGGCUCAACCGGGGAACUGCGUGUGAUACUGGCGGGCUUGAAUUCGGGAGAGGGAUGUGGAAUUCCGAGGUGUAGCGGUGAAAUGACGUAGAUAUCUGGAGGAACACCAGUGGCGAAGGCGGCAUCCUGGACCGACACUGACACUGAGGAGCGAAAGCCAGGGGAGCAAACAGG
rnacentral:rRNA from 1 species